rnacentral:snRNA from 1 species
AUAUAUAUGGCAGUACGUAUACUAAAAUUGGAACAAUACAGAGAUUAGCAUGGCCCCUUCACAAGGAUGACACAAAUUCGUGAAGCAUUCUGUACUUUU